GGGGUUGUAGCUCCAUGGUAAAGCGCUUGCCUAGCAUGCAUGAGGCACUGGGUUCGAUCCCCAGCACCACA
rnacentral:tRNA from 1 species